UUAAGUGAAUAAGGGCGCACGGUGGAUGCCUUGGCACUAGGAGCCGAUGAAGGACGGGACUAACACCGAUAUGCUUUGGGGAGCUGUACGUAAGCUAUGAUCCAGAGAUUUCCGAAUGGGGGAACCCAACAUCUUUAAUAGGAUGUUACGAUUGUGUGAAUACAUAGCACAUUCGAGGUAGACGCAGAGAACUGAAACAUCUAAGUACCUGCAGGAAGAGAAAGAAAAUUCGAUUCCCUGAGUAGCGGCGAGCGAAACGGGAAAAGCCCAAACCAGCAAGCUUGCUUGUUGGGGUUGUAGGACUCCAAUAUGGUAGUUCUUUCAGAUAGUCGAAUGACUUGGAAAAGUCAGUCAAAGAGGGUAAAAACCCCGUAGACGAAAUGUGGAAGACACCUAGGAGGAUCCUGAGUACGGCGGAACACGAGAAAUUCCGUCGGAAUCCGGGAGGACCAUCUCCCAAGGCUAAAUACUCCCUAGUGACCGAUAGUGAACCAGUACCGUGAGGGAAAGGUGAAAAGCACCCCGGAAGGGGAGUGAAAUAGAACCUGAAACCGUGUGCCUACAACAAGUCAAAGCCCGUUAAUGGGUGAUGGCGUGCCUUUUGUAGAAUGAACCGGCGAGUUACGAUUGCAUGCGAGGUUAAGUUGAAGAGACGGAGCCGCAGCGAAAGCGAGUCUGAAUAGGGCGUUUGAGUAUGUAGUCGUAGACCCGAAACCAUGUGAUCUACCCAUGUCCAGGUUGAAGGUGCGGUAAAACGCACUGGAGGACCGAACCCACGUACGUUGAAAAGUGCGGGGAUGAGGUGUGGGUAGCGGAGAAAUUCCAAACGAACUUGGAGAUAGCUGGUUCUCUCCGAAAUAGCUUUAGGGCUAGCCUCGGAAUUGAGAAUGAUGGAGGUAGAGCACUGUUUGGACUAGGGGCCCAUCUCGGGUUACCGAAUUCAGAUAAACUCCGAAUGCCAUUCAUUCAUAUCCGGGAGUCAGACUGUGAGUGAUAAGAUCCAUAGUCGAAAGGGAAACAGCCCAGACCACCAGCUAAGGUCCCAAAAUAUAUGUUAAGUGGAAAAGGAUGUGGGGUUGCACAGACAACUAGGAUGUUGGCUUAGAAGCAGCCAUCAUUUAAAGAGUGCGUAAUAGCUCACUAGUCGAGUGACCCUGCGCCGAAAAUGUACCGGGGCUAAACAUAUUACCGAAGCUGUGGAGUACACCUUUAGGUGUAUUGGUAGGAGAGCGUUCUAAGGGCGUUGAAGGCAGAUCGUGAGGACUGCUGGAGCGCUUAGAAGUGAGAAUGCCGGUAUGAGUAGCGAAAGACAGGUGAGAAUCCUGUCCACCGAAUGACUAAGGUUUCCUGGGGAAGGCUCGUCCGCCCAGGGUUAGUCGGGACCUAAGCCGAGGCCGACAGGCGUAGGCGAUGGAUAACAGGUUGAUAUUCCUGUACCCGUUGUUUUUGUUUGAGCAAUGGAGGGACGCAGGAGGCUAAGGAAUGCAGACGAUCGGAAAUGUCUGUCCAAGCAGUAAGUCUGAAGAGGAGUCAAAUGCUUCUUUUCUUAAGGACAAGCUGUGAUGGGGAGGGAAAUAAUAGUACCGAAGUUCCUGAUGUCACACUGCCGAGAAAAGCUUCUAGUGAGAAAACAGCGGCCCGUACCGCAAACCGACACAGGUAGUCGAGGAGAGAAUCCUAAGGUGAGCGAGAGAACUCUCGUUAAGGAACUCGGCAAAAUGACCCCGUAACUUCGGGAGAAGGGGUGCUGAUCAUACGAUCAGCCGCAGUGAAUAGGCCCAAGCGACUGUUUAUCAAAAACACAGGUCUCUGCAAAAUCGUAAGAUGAAGUAUAGGGGCUGACGCCUGCCCGGUGCUGGAAGGUUAAGAGGAGUGCUUAGCGCAAGCGAAGGUACGAAUUGAAGCCCCAGUAAACGGCGGCCGUAACUAUAACGGUCCUAAGGUAGCGAAAUUCCUUGUCGGGUAAGUUCCGACCCGCACGAAAGGCGUAACGAUUUGGGCACUGUCUCAACGAGAGACUCGGUGAAAUUUUAGUACCUGUGAAGAUGCAGGUUACCCGCGACAGGACGGAAAGACCCCAUGGAGCUUUACUGUAGUUUGAUAUUGAGUGUCUGUACCGCAUGUACAGGAUAGGUAGGAGCCGUAGAAAUCGGAACGCUAGUUUCGAUGGAGGCGCUGGUGGGAUACUACCCCUGCGUUAUGGCCACUCUAACCCGCACCACUAAUCGUGGUGGGAGACAGUGUCAGAUGGGCAGUUUGACUGGGGCGGUCGCCUCCUAAAAGGUAACGGAGGCGCCCAAAGGUUCCCUCAGAAUGGUUGGAAAUCAUUCGAAGAGUGUAAAGGCAGAAGGGAGCUUGACUGCGAGACCAACAAGUCGAGCAGGGACGAAAGUCGGGCUUAGUGAUCCGGUGGUUCCGCAUGGAAGGGCCAUCGCUCAACGGAUAAAAGCUACCCUGGGGAUAACAGGCUUAUCUCCCCCAAGAGUCCACAUCGACGGGGAGGUUUGGCACCUCGAUGUCGGCUCGUCGCAUCCUGGGGCUGUAGUCGGUCCCAAGGGUUGGGCUGUUCGCCCAUUAAAGCGGCACGCGAGCUGGGUUCAGAACGUCGUGAGACAGUUCGGUCCCUAUCCGUCGCGGGCGUUGGAAAUUUGAGAGGAGCUGUCCUUAGUACGAGAGGACCGGGAUGGACUUACCGCUGGUGUACCAGUUGUUCUGCCAAGGGCAUUGCUGGGUAGCUAUGUAGGGAAGGGAUAAACGCUGAAAGCAUCUAAGUGUGAAGCCCACCUCAAGAUGAGAUUUCCCAUUUCUUUAAGAAAGUAAGAUCCCUGAGAGAUGAUCAGGUAGAUAGGUCAGGAGUGGAAGUACAGUGAUGUAUGGAGCGGACUGAUACUAAUCGAUCGAGGACUUAACCA
rnacentral:rRNA from 1 species